GGGCUGUAUAUGCACACAUGCAAAUAUCUCAAUAAAAAUAUAAGCAGAUUCACAUGAGGUUCAACACAUAACGAAAUGGAUUAAAAAAAAUAAAACUUCAGCCAGAUUUUCUCCCUUUCUCUGAUUGUUUAUUCAAGCUCUGAUUAAUAUUAGAAACUGUGAAAUAAAGAGUUCCAUAGAGUUAUAAUUGCUCUCUGUUCAUGCUUCCUUUAAAUCAGCUGUGUGUCUGUUUCACAGCCCGAUCAGCCGAUCAGCUGUUUCAGGCUUUUAAAAGGUGGGCAUGUGCUGAAGUAGUCUUCACAGGGAGGAGAGGAAGUUAAGUGUUUUUGGUGACUGCAGGGAUAUACAGUGAUGCAAAUAUGCAUUUUCUGGCUGGAAUCAGGAUAAAAGGGCACCUUUUUGUCCCAUGUUUUUGGCCAUUGUAAUGAUUCAGUGUGCAUUUAGCAGUAACGUUAUGUAGCCAUCCCCCUUUUAAACUCAGGAAAUCCCAUGUUUAAGUGCUGUGUAAUUAGGCUCUCAAGGAACCAGAACACACAAGUAAUUGUUAUGUGAUGCUCAGGAGAAAAUGUGGAGGGAGAAAAUAAAAUGAAAUCCAAAAAUAUAAACCACAUGUGUACAGAAUGGAAAGAGAAAUGCACUAUUCAAGUGCUUUUGUCAUACUAUCUACACCCAGUCCCUCCUUGGAGAUGGAUGAAGGACAACACGGAGUUACGGUUUUCCACUCAAAUAUAUAUUUAUAUUAAUAUGUGGCUGAGCAGAAGCAUUUCUAUAAAGAAAGUUGAAAGUUUGAAAGUUGCAGUCUAAAAUCAUUAAAGUAGAACUAUUGAACUAAUUGUAUAACUAUGAGAAUAUAUAAGGAAGUCAAUCUGAUUAAAUGAAUCUACUUUAAUCAGGACUAAAAUAGUCCCUGGUUUCCCUGUAUUGUUGAAGAUCAUAUCUUAACUUGUUUUUCAGAAGUUUAAUGAAAAGUGCCUUGGGAAAUAAAAUUAGAUAUAAAAGAGUUUGUGUUACUGGAGGAGGCUUCUGGGAUCCAUGAGUCUUCAUUUUUCAAAAAAGAGGUAUUUCCUUUAACUAACAGAAGACAGUGGGGAGCCACACAAAAUCUCUCAUAGGAUACACAUAUCCUGCUCAGACAAUUCCCAUCCUUAAUGAUACUUCAUAGCAAGGAGAAAAUAAUGCAGCCCUCCAUAAUUUGGUCUCAUUCCCAUUUUCUCUGAUCAUUUAUUAUAUUGGCUAGAGCUGCUGUAAUUUGUAGUACAACAGCAUCUGGAGGACUUCAUAACUCCCACCCUAUUCUACAGUUAUAGGACUUCAUCCCACCUCCCCAGUUUCUAAACAUUUAGAAUCCUUUGAGGCUGGGAUUUAUAGAAUCAUGGAAUCAUAGAAUAGUAGAGUUGGAAGAGACCUCAUGGGCCAUCCAGUCCAACCCCCUGCCAAGAAGCAGGAAAUCGUAUUCAAAGCACCCCCGACAGAUGGCCAUCCAGCCUCU
rnacentral:lncRNA from 1 species